UCCAAAUCAUUCGACACAAAGUUGUUUGGUUAUAGUCCCUGGAGAUUAGAUGAUCUUUAAGUAGGGAUGAGAGCAGAUUGAGUUUCUUCAGCUACUUGCAUCUAUCCAAACCCAUUCAAAUCCAAAAAUGAGAUGGAUUUAAGUCAUUCGUCAGAGCUAAUGUUAAGCAGUAUCGACCUCAUGGAUCAUAAGGAUUGGUGCAAGAGAAACAAGAGAUUCGGUGCGGAAUGGAAAGGGAAAUCAUGGUGAUGCCAUGUGACACACUGGGCUUGACAUCCCAACAGCCAAUCAAGCUGGGAAAGGACAGAGCAAGUGACGGAGGAGGUGGCUCAACUGCUCCUUUCCAAUUACAUUAGCCAUUAGGCUCACAUCUGCUGUGGCUACCUAUCUACUUGUUUAUCGAUGUCUAAAUAAUAUAUGACAUGGUGGUCAUACAUUAAGUACACCUUCCAUGGAUUGGAUUGUUAAGGUUGGGGUGCCCUCCCGACAUUUUGAUGUCCUAAAAUGGACUUACAUCCCGUGGUUGCUUAUCACCAGACGGGGACACAUACGUUCUAUUCCCUUGCGUGACAUUGGUCCCAUUCCUAGCGCAAAAAAACCAGGCAUAUUAGCUCAUCAUGAUUUAUAUUUGGAUUUUUAAUGUACUUAUUGGAUGCAUUGUUUU